CGAAGAUCUGCUGACUCUGCCUGCCUGCUGGGUCCCAGGAUGUUUGCUGAUCUUGUUGAACUUUUGUUUCCUGUCUUUUCCCACUGAGUUUCACAUUCUGAUAGGGUA